AACGAACGCUGGCGGCAGGCCUAACACAUGCAAGUCGAGCGAGGACUUCGGUUCUAGCGGCGGACGGGUGAGUAACGCGUGGGAAUGUGCCCUUCUCUACGGAAUAGCCCUGGGAAACUGGGAGUAAUACCGUAUACGCCCUUUUGGGGAAAGAUUUAUCGGAGAAGGAUCAGCCCGCGUUGGAUUAGGUAGUUGGUGGGGUAAUGGCCUACCAAGCCGACGAUCCAUAGCUGGUUUGAGAGGAUGAUCAGCCACACUGGGACUGAGACACGGCCCAGACUCCUACGGGAGGCAGCAGUGGGGAAUCUUAGACAAUGGGGGCAACCCUGAUCUAACCAUGCCGCGUGAGUGAUGAAGGCCUUAGGGUUGUAAAGCUCUUUCAGCUGGGAAGAUAAUGACGGUACCAGCAGAAGAAGCCCCGGCUAACUCCGUG
rnacentral:rRNA from 1 species